GGGUUGUGAGGUUAAGCGACUAAGCGUACACGGUGGAUGCCCUGGCAGUCAGAGGCGAUGAAGGGCGUGCUAAUCUGCGAUAAGCGCCGGUAAGGUGAUAUGAACCGUUAUAACCGGCGAUACCCGAAUGGGGAAACCCAGUGUGACUCGUCACACUAUCAUUAACUGAAUCCAUAGGUUAAUGAGGCGAACCGGGGGAACUGAAACAUCUAAGUACCCCGAGGAAAAGAAAUCAACCGAGAUUCCCCCAGUAGCGGCGAGCGAACGGGGAGGAGCCCAGAGCCUGAAUCAGCAUGUGUGUUAGUGGAAGCGUCUGGAAAGGCGCGCGAUACAGGGUGACAGCCCCGUACACAAAAGCGCAUGUGCUGUGAGCUCGAUGAGUAGGGCGGGACACGUGGUAUCCUGUCUGAAUAUGGGGGGACCAUCCUCCAAGGCUAAAUACUCCUGACUGACCGAUAGUGAACCAGUACCGUGAGGGAAAGGCGAAAAGAACCCCGGCGAGGGGAGUGAAAAAGAACCUGAAACCGUGUACGUACAAGCAGUGGGAGCACCCUUUUGGGUGUGACUGCGUACCUUUUGUAUAAUGGGUCAGCGACUUAUAUUCUGUAGCAAGGUUAACCG
rnacentral:rRNA from 2 species